rnacentral:rRNA from 1 species
CCUACGGGAGGCAGCAGUGAGGAAUAUUGGUCAAUGGGCGCAAGCCUGAACCAGCCAAGUCGCGUGAGGGAUGACGGUCCUAUGGAUUGUAAACCUCUUUUGUCGGGGAGCAAGGCCCGCCACGUGUGGCGGGAAGGAGAGUACCCGAAGACAAAGCAUCGGCUAACUCCGUGCCAGCAGCCGCGGUAAUACGGAGGAUGCGAGCGUUAUCCGGAUUUAUUGGGUUUAAAGGGUGCGUAGGCGGAAGGUUAAGUCAGUGGUCAAAUGUCGGUGCUCAACACCGGCCUGCCGUUGGACCUGGGCUUCUUGAGGGAGCGAGAAGUAUGCGGAAUGCGUGGGGUAGCGGUGGAAUGGAUA